UCUCUCUUGUCUUAGUCUAAUAAUCCUUACCUUUGCAAUGGCAGCAGGAUGCCUUUGACUUUCUCACUUACGGUUUCCUCCUCAGAAAAAUGGAGACAGUUUCUACCUCACAGGUGGUGAGGGACCAGACACCUGCAUGCACAGAGAAACACUAGAAAAGGCUGACUGGCCCAUGCUUUAAUAUCGUUCCCUUCCCUCCUUUCAUUUAUUUCUUUCUGUUUUGCAGUGUUCCAACUUUCCUUUCUUCUUGUAAACAUUCACAAUUAUAUGUCUACAGAUGAUUUGUGUUUCUGUCAAGCCUUUCCUUCUUUUCAUCAGUGCCCAUUUUCUGCAGAGGAUUCUAUGAGGGAGGUAAGAUGAUGUGAUAGUGAAAUGGGCAGAUUCUGGAAUCUGGUGGCAAACUAGGGUUCUUAUCCCUGACUCACCUCUAGCCUGACUUUAUUACAAACCAUGUGACCUAGAGAAGAUCAGCUGACCUCUCUGGCUCUUUGCUUCCUCAGUACUAAGAACUGAAUAAUCUCAGCACCUAUCUCAUGAGGUUUCUGUGAGGACAAAGUAUGAUGAUGCAGAAGCAAUCUGCUUGGUUCUUUUGUCUCUACAAAGGAAGUUUCUGUUUACUACCUGACUAGCUGGAAUUCCACCCAGAUGUGUCUAACUCCAAAGCUUGCCACAUCAAAGCCAUAACCUCAUGUGUUAAAGGAUCAUGUAAAAACAGCAAUGUGACUCUGAAGAGCACAGUAUUUUGAGGAGCUGAUCAUAUCCUAUAACGAAGUAGAACUGCUGAGACGUCAUCAACAAUUCUCGUGUGGAGAACCUUCCACAGAAGGCAAAACAAGAACAACAAAAAAACCAGAAGGAGACUGGGCUCCUGGAUGACCCUGUGGAACUGAGCUGUUCCAAAGCCCCGAAGUCUGUUUUGGAUGAAUAACUGAAUCAGGAGAACGCCUGUGGUAUCCUCUGAAGGAUCGAAGGAUUAUUUAGUUGUUGGGGCUGGUAAACCUCCACUGCACUGCUGGAGAGAAAGAAAAAGAAUCACUACCUAGUGGAAAAUGUUGUGCAAGCCUCUUCAUGUUUCUUCCCUCCAGAAAACAACUCAACAGAUGGAAGAACGGGUUCACAAACAUAUCAGCUCUCUCCUGCCAAGUUACUCACAGUAAUGCAUCCUGGUGAGACAUCAGAGAAAAAACAUCAGGACUUUUACAUGUAAGAAGAGAAAAAGAAGACCAACCUGAGAAAUAUCAACAUUAAGGGGACAGACCAGGAAGAGGAAUUUGUGGGACCAAAGAGGAUUAGUUAGAAAAGGAUAUUAGAAAGAAGCCCAGGGAGGCUGCGGCCAGGACAGAUAAUCUUGUGGAGAAUAUUGUGCAGUCAAGAAGCUGUGAUGUAUAAGCAGAUCCAUAUGGACUUGUUUUAAAGAGAUGAAUUAUUCAUAUAAACUUUGCAAUCCUUUUGGUGACAGUUGAGCAGAGACCUGAGUGAAGCAAUGGAGCCACCUAUUGGAAUACUUGGAGGUGAAAUCUGUUCAGCAGAGGAAACUGCAUAGACACAAAGCCGGGAAAAGGCAUGGCGUUUUCAAGUAGCAUCAAGGAGACCAGUGUAGAGUGGAAUGAAUAGGACACGCAAUUGGAAAGUAAAGCCAAGGAUUAUAUUAAAAUGGGCUUGUAAACUAAGGUAAGGGGUUUAGAUUUUAUUUUGACUGUGGUAAGCCGCUGGAGACUUUGAACGGAGAAAUAACACAAUGUAGCAUGUUUUGGGGCUAUAACAGACAAGAGUGAAAGUACAGUAUUUGUUAUGAGGGAGUUGCAGAAGUUAGAAAAGUGAAAGUUUAUAAAGAAAAGGAUCGAAGUAGUAGCUGUGUAGUUGGUGAGAAGUGAUUGGAUUUGGAAUGUACUUUGAAGAUAAAUUCAGAAUUUGCUAAUGGUUUGGGUGUGAAAUGUGAAAAACGUAUAUAAAGACUACAGGUUUGGGGUCUAAGUCAUAGGGUCAGUAGUGAUGUCAUUCAAUUACAUAUCUACAGAUUCAUGAAGAGAUGGCAGGAGGUAAAUUGGAGGGAAGGCAGAAUGACAGCCAAAUAACUCUUAUCAGGGCUGGACUGAAAGCAGGAAGUGGGUGAAGGUAGUCUCAUUGGUUGGCUAUGGAGUACGUACAGUAACCUGGUUUCAUCAUUUGCCUACAUUUUUUCAUACAUCAAUGUCUAAUUAAUGAUGUUUCAGUACGAUAUGAACUCACUGAUGUUUUGCUUUCACAGUGGUUCUUCCAAUGUCUUUUCAUUAUGUCUUAGCAGUCAUGUUAAUCCAUUAACUGCCUACAAAAAGUGGUUAAUUGUUGCCAUGUCCAGAAAAUGUGUUGAAGAAGCAGUUGGUUUCUUGGUUUCCUCUGCAUUGGAGCAUGAUUUGUGGUUACUUUUAUGGAUUGGGAAAAGGAGUGAAAUAAAUUAUGUUUUAAAUGAGCAUUGGACUGGGAGUCAGGCCUACUGAGUUUCAGACAGUCCCAACUCUACCAGCUAUGUGACCUGGGAUAGGAUGUCAAGCAUCUAAGGGCCUUGUUCUUCUCAUCUGCAUAGUUAGUAGCUUAGAUAAUCUAUAUAAUAGAAUAAUCCUUAGUACACUAAACUCUAGCCUGUGGUUAGACGGUGGUAAGAGUCUAAUCUAAAAA